rnacentral:rRNA from 1 species
AUUGAACGCUGGCGGCAAGCCUAACACAUGCAAGUCGAACGAGUGGCGGACGGGUGAGUAAUGUCUGGGAAACUGCCCGAUGGAGGGGGAUAACUACUGGAAACGGUAGCUAAUACCGCAUACCAUCGGAUGUGCCCAGUUGGGAUUAGCUAGUAGGUGGGGUAAAGGCGCACCUAGGCGACGAUCCCUAGCUGGGCUGAGAGGAUGACCAGCAACACGGGAACUGGGACACGGUCCAGACUCCUACGGGAGGCAGCAGUGGGGAAUAUUGCACAAGGGGCGCAAGCCUGAGUCAGCCAUGCCGCGUGUAUGAAGAAGGCCUUCGGGGUGUAAAGUACUUUCAGCGGGGAGGCGUUACCCGCAGAAGAAGCACCGGCUAACUCCGUGCCAGCAGCCGCGGUAAUUC